rnacentral:rRNA from 1 species
GACGAACGCUGGCGGCGUGCCUAAUACAUGCAAGUAGAACGCUGAAGGAGGAGCUUGCUCUUCUGGAUGAGUUGCGAACGGGUGAGUAACGCGUAGGUAACCUGCCUGGUAGCGGGGGAUAACUAUUGGAAACGAUAGCUAAUACCGCAUAACAGUAGAUGUUGCAUGACAUUUACUUAAAAGGUGCAAUUGCAUCACUACCAGAUGGACCUGCGUUGUAUUAGCUAGUUGGUGGGGUAACGGCUCACCAAGGCGACGAUACAUAGCCGACCUGAGAGGGUGAUCGGCCACACUGGGACUGAGACACGGCCCAGACUCCUACGGGAGGCAGCAGUAGGGAAUCUUCGGCAAUGGACGGAAGUCUGACCGAGCAACGCCGCGUGAGUGAAGAAGGUUUUCGGAUCGUAAAGCUCUGUUGUAAGAGAAGAACGAGUGUGAGAGUGGAAAGUUCACACCGUGACGGUAUCUUACCAGAAAGGGACGGCUAACUACGUG